rnacentral:rRNA from 1 species
GACGAACGCUGGCGGCGUGCUUAACACAUGCAAGUCGAACGGAAAGGCCCUGCUUUUGUGGGGUGCUCGAGUGGCGAACGGGUGAGUAACACGUGAGUAACCUGCCCUUGACUUUGGGAUAACUUCAGGAAACUGGGGCUAAUACCGGAUAGGAGCUCCUGCUGCAUGGUGGGGGUUGGAAAGUUUCGGCGGUUGGGGAUGGACUCGCGGCUUAUCAGCUUGUGGGUGGGGUAGUGGCUUACCAAGGCUUUGACGGGUAGCCGGCCUGAGAGGGUGACCGUCCACAUUGGGACUGAGAUACGGCCCAGACUCCUACGGGUGGCAGCAGUGGGGAAUAUUGCACAAUGGGCGGAAGCCUGAUGCAGCAACGCCGCGUGCGGGAUGACGGCCUUCGGGUUGUAAACCGCUUUCGCCUGUGACGAAGCGUGAGUGACGGUAAUGGGUAAAGAAGCACCGGCUAACUACGUG